rnacentral:rRNA from 1 species
UACGGAGGAUGCGAGCGUUAUCCGGAUUUAUUGGGUUUAAAGGGUGCGUAGGCUGGUAUUUAAGUCAGUGGUGAAAAAUCCGGGCUCAACCUGGGUACUGCCAUUGAUACUGGAUACCUGGAGUGUAGACGAAGUGGGCGGAAUGUGGGGUGUAGCGGUGAAAUGCAUAGAUAUUCCACAGAACACCGAUAGCGAAGGCAGCUCACUAGGUUACAACUGACGCUGAUGCACGAAAGCGUGGGGAUCAAACAGG